UUAGUGGCGAACGGGUGAGUAACACGUGAGUAACCUGCCCUUGACUCUGGGAUAAGCCUGGGAAACUGGGUCUAAUACCGGAUAUGACCAUCUGACGCAUGUCAUGGUGGUGGAAAGCUUUUGUGGUUUUGGAUGGACUCGCGGCCUAUCAGCUUGUUGGUGGGGUAAUGGCCUACCAAGGCGACGACGGGUAGCCGGCCUGAGAGGGUGACCGGCCACACUGGGACUGAGACACGGCCCAGACUCCUACGGGAGGCAGCAGUGGGGAAUAUUGCACAAUGGGCGGAAGCCUGAUGCAGCGACGCCGCGUGAGGGAUGACGGCCUUCGGGUUGUAAACCUCUUUCAGUAGGGAAGAAGCGAAAGUGACGGUACCUGCAGAAGAAGCGCCGGCUAACUACGUGCCAGCAGCCGCGGUAAUACGUAGGGCGCAAGCGUUAUCCGGAAUUAUUGGGCGUAAAGAGCUCGUAGGCGGUUUGUCGCGUCUGCUGUGAAAGACCGGGGCUCAACUCCGGUUCUGCAGUGGGUACGGGCAGACUAGAGUGCAGUAGGGGAGACUGGAAUUCCUGGUGUAGCGGUGAAAUGCGCAGAUAUCAGGAGGAACACCGAUGGCGAAGGCAGGUCUCUGGGCUGUAACUGACGCUGAGGAGCGAAAGCAUGGGGAGCGAACAGGAUUAGAUACCCUGGUAGUCCAUGCCGUAAACGUUGGGCACUAGGUGUGGGGGACAUUCCACGUUUUCCGCGCCGUAGCUAACGCAUUAAGUGCCCCGCCUGGGGAGUACGGCCGCAAGGCUAAAACUCAAAGGAAUUGACGGGGGCCCGCACAAGCGGCGGAGCAUGCGGAUUAAUUCGAUGCAACGCGAAGAACCUUACCAAGGCUUGACAUGAACCGGAAAGACCUGGAAACAGGUGCCCCGCUUGCGGUCGGUUUACAGGUGGUGCAUGGUUGUCGUCAGCUCGUGUCGUGAGAUGUUGGGUUAAGUCCCGCAACGAGCGCAACCCUCGUUCUAUGUUGCCAGCGCGUUAUGGCGGGGACUCAUAGGAGACUGCCGGGGUCAACUCGGAGGAAGGUGGGGACGACGUCAAAUCAUCAUGCCCCUUAUGUCUUGGGCUUCACGCAUGCUACAAUGGCCGGUACAAAGGGUUGCGAUACUGUGAGGUGGAGCUAAUCCCAAAAAGCCGGUCUCAGUUCGGAUUGGGGUCUGCAACUCGACCCCAUGAAGUCGGAGUCGCUAGUAAUCGCAGAUCAGCAACGCUGCGGUGAAUACGUUCCCGGGCCUUGUACACACCGCCCGUCAAGUCACGAAAGUUGGUAACACCCGA
rnacentral:rRNA from 1 species